CGAAUUGCAAAGUGCCGAUUAAGGAUUGAAGCUCUAUGAGGCGAGCGGAACGCUUUCGCUUGAAAUCCCGCAAGGAAGCUUUAAGACGUUCUAAUUUAUCUGAAGCUGGGCGAACCAGAGCUUGGCUUCUGUUGCCUUGGCGCUGGCCUGCGGAUGCGGAGAUUUCGGCGCGACACUGGUGAGCGGGAUGGGAGUCGGCGCAUUUUUGGCAAACGUGGGGGUAGAUGCAGGCUUGACGGGAACAGCCGGUGACUCGGUUGAAGUCGAAGCACACGUUGUUACGAUGAAUUCGCGGUGAACGGUGUGUGGCGAGGCGGUGUUGACCGGAAGGGCAGUCUCCGGAGCGAUGGAAGGGGCUGGAACACGAAGCGCAGUGCGGUUUAGCCAGCCCGGCGAAUGUUACCGUCCGCUGUUCAAGAUUGACACGAUCCCAGGGAAUUGAGCAAUCCUGAGCGACAUAGCGGCGAAAGUUCUCAUUGUAUGUUAGCCACGCAAAACCCCGGUAUUUUGCCACCACUGAUGAAAUGAUCGCUUGGUGCUGGAUCAUCUCCCGGGCCCGUCUUGGAAAUGCCGUGACGAUCGCUAGCGCAUACCGCGUGUAUGCGAUGACCCAUUUAUAGAAGGAGUCUAUGCUCUGUCGUUUAUUGCGCAAGAGCCUGACGCUCUCCGAGUUUUCGGCGAAACCAAGUUGGAAUUCGGGCCCGGCGUGCGCAAGAUUAUCGGGGAGAAGGAGAGCAAAAUCGAUGUACUCACCCCGAGUAAUCUUGCCCUCUAGUGCCUCGUCCAGUGAUCGAGGCCCAAGGGAGACGCCGAGCCAGGAGUGCCUUCGCUUGCGACGACUGGUGGUGAUGGAGGGUCCUGUUGUGGUGGUCGCCAACUUGCGAGAGCGUCGGACACAGUUUUCCGUAUUACAGACAGCUGGGCUUCAGAAAAGCCGGUCGGAUUCGUCGGAUGACUGGUUGUCGGAUCCGUCGGAUUACUGGUGGGCGCUUGGCGCUCCCUUCUGCUACUCGGGGCUGAAGGUGAAGCCUCCUCACCGCCUCGAGUGGCUUGCCGGAGGCGAUCUAUUUGUUGCUGCCGUGUUCCACCAGAGGGCAGGUUGAGGGCUUGUAGUCGCAGACCAAGCACCUCGGUAGACAGGCGAGAAAACUCAUCUCCUCCAGACAAACGCGAACGUUUAGGCAUAUUUUCCCGAUUACAAAUGUUUCUUUGCAGUACCCGUAGCUUAUUAAGCGAAAAAGCUUUACUUUAGGUGUGGCGCUUUAUAUGGGUAGAUAGCGACCAAUAAGAAUCAAGAACGAGUAUAGUAAGGUAUCUCACGUGAAAGAUAUUGAGUAAUACCUGUGCUAUCGUAGCAUGAUACGUGUACUCGUACGAUAUUAUGAGUGACCUUUGAGCCUGGCUCCGGCUCCAUUAACUGAAAUUACCGUCCCUAGUGGUGACGGUAAUUUUGGACCAAUUUACCAUUUGUCAUUCGCCAAUUGCACUGACAACCUUUUUGUGAAAUAGUUGUAUGCGUUUUACUUAGCUUGAUCAAAUGCGCUAUUAACUAUAUGAAAUAAAAAAAAAUACUGAAAAUCGUUCAAUUAAUUAAAACCAUAUUGUGUCUUUAAUACAGUGACGCCUCUAAAAAGAAGCCGCGUUGUAUUGUAGAGCCUCACUGCAAUACAAACAGCAUGUGAAUGCAAACGCACUUACCGAUUUCGCAUUUUGUUCCUUUGUACCCAGGCGGGCACGUGCAGUUAAAUCCGUUCACCAAGUCCGCACAGGUGCCCCCAUUUACACAUGGAUUGCUGGCGCAUUCAUUGAUAUCUACAAAAAGUGGGAUGUGUAGAUGCUGUAAGUUUUUAUGUAUAAGAAAUUACAAUGGGGUUAAAGCUAACCUUUACAGAAUUUGAAAGAGUUUAGGAAUGCAGAAGCAUUAAAAGUAAUUCAUCUGUCUAUCUAUCUGAACAGUAGAUGUUUGCGGUGGUAGUCAUUCAUUUUGUAAGAAUUACAACCAACGUAUCGAUGUUUUUUUAUGUCCACAGUUGCAGGGUUUAUUGAUAUAUGUACAAACAUCACUUACCAAUUUCGCAUGUUGUACCAUUGUAUCCAGGCGGGCAGUUGCAGUUAUAUCCGUUCACCAAGUCAUUACAAGUACCACCGUUCAAACAAGGAUUGCUAGCGCAUUCAUUGAUGUCUACAAGGAGG